rnacentral:lncRNA from 1 species
AUCACUGGACCAUACUGGGCCAGGACCACCACACUUUUGACUUUGUCGAAGGUUUAGAGCUUCUCGAAACUCUUCUAAUGGCCCCAUUAAACUCAAGUGAUGUACUUAAAGAAACCUAUGGACUACGGUUUUUUCCUUUAAAUGAAUCGAGCUUUAGAUUAUAUUCCAACACGUAUUGGCUACUUGUAUGACUUUGACUCCAAUUUUCUCUGCUUCCAAUAUGUUUGGUUUACUUUAUAAAUCUUUUAGUCCCGCCUCUUUCUUUGAAUAUGCCUUAGCCUCUCAGCUAAUUCUUAUUUUUAUGUUUUUGGUUUCAUAUAUGACCAAUUGGUCUUUGAGUAAAACUAGAUCAGAAAUUUCCUGAUAUAAAUGAAGUUACAACAACUAUUACCAGUCGGUCUUCAAAUGUUAAAUAACUAAAUAACCACAUAUUCAAUCGGAUAAUAUAUAUAUAUAAUGCACAUUUUCC